GGCGGGGUGCCGGAGCGGUCUAACGGGACGGUCUUGAAAACCGUUGGCUCUUGACGGGGCCCGUGAGUUCGAAUCUCACCCCCGCCG
rnacentral:tRNA from 1 species